ensembl:lncRNA
UGUGCCAGGAAAUGUGCUAAUUGCCAGGUGUGACACGUUAACCUCCUCUGGAGGAAGUGCGUGAGAAGCAGUUCAGCUGCUGGCUGAAGUGAAGUCACAGCCCUAGUAUGUGUAGGUGCUGUAUUACCAUUUGCAGAAGAAAGGAACCUGAUGCAAUCUUCAAGGUGCAGCAUGGCCAAAGCUUUGUGAGAUGCUUUUUUUCUGUGCUUUGCUUAAAAUGGUGGAAAACAAGUACUUCUUCAAGAAACAUUGGUGAUGCUUCUUACUGGAAUUGCUGAUGGAGUUAAGGCCUAUCAACGCAUACAAUGUUAUCUAAUGACUAUAAAUAGUCUUUUAUGGUUGAGCAGAGCAAGGAACUCACAAGAAGAUCCUCCAAGGGUAGCAGGUGCUGCUUGUGUGAGGGUUGCUGAUUGUGCAUUGCUCAGUGUUCUCAUCUGUUAUGAACAUUUGUCAUCUGCUGCUAUGAUCUCCAUCUUCCAGCUUAGUUAGUACGUACUGCUAAGCCCGCCGCUUCUGGAGAUGAAAAUGGCUUCUGGAGUGUUGUUGUCUUGUUAGUACAGCAAAGAAGGUCUAUGGGGAAGGUUACUGCAUGUGAGUGGCAUCAACCGGAACAGCCCCUCCAGGCUUGUGGGAUAUUGCUGACCUGCACUCUACACUCGUGCUAUUUGGGGUGAUCUGCCUGCUGGGAGAUAUGUGGACUAGUGAACUGGAUAAAUCAGCAUGUAAUUCUGUAGAUGAAAAAGGUUUCAGAUCUGCCUCCAAAAUUCCAGCUGCUCCUUCAGUUAAUCUCACUUCCCUUGCUGAUCCUGCCAGGAUACCUCAGGACAGUCCAAGGAUGUGCACAGGCAACUAUCUGAAUAAAGGUUUGUUCAUCAAAGUAAUGUCUUUUCCCUUAUUUCAUUUUAAUUUUAUGAUUUAUUGGGCCCAGUCCUUGGAAUCAGUACAGCAAAUUAUAAAUAAAGAAAUAAAAACCUUGACUUCAUUUAAUAGGUGUUACAUAAAAUAUCCCUAAUGUGAUUUUUGUUGAUUUAUUUUUUUAGGAAAGAAGGAAUGUCUUUAUUUUGACUAUACUGGCUGAAGCUCUGUAGUAAAGGAGCAAUAAGGUUGGAAAUUGCAUAAUUCAUCAAUUUGGAAAUGCUUGUGUAGCCCAGUUCUGUUCUAUUUGUCUGCAUCACGAUACUAGCUUAUUGCAUUUCAAUGCCAUGUUAAAAAAGCUCAGAAUAAAUGCUUGUUUACAAGUGAAGAAAAUUAGAACCUAUGCUGAGCCCGUAUAAAUUGAAAUAGUAAAAUGAAGAUUCUCCUUUCCUGAACUGCAACCAUUUUUUUCUACUGUCAGUAAUAAUAAUAAGUAGCUUCUUGAGGUCUUGAAAGGAUUAUGACCAUGUUGUGCCACAGUUCAAAAGUACCUGGUGAAUUCCUGUAAAUUUUCUCUGAAAAUUGCUUGACUUUAGGCAAACACAUCACAGUCAGUAUUUUAGAGUGCCCUUAAUUUUGUGGUUAUAGCUAACAGGUAGCUAUUCACAUGCUGUGUUCACUUGCUCCUUUGCACAACUCACACCUAGACACAGCUGGAAGAGCAGCAG